GCUAAGGGGGCGCGGGCUCGCUCCAGAGGACUGCAAAUCUAAGGGGAUGCUGGGGUCAGGCGGGAGAACGCCUCGGAUUGCCGUCAGGACUGGGCAGACACCGGAUCUGAGGGGACACGGGACUGUGAGCGACCCUGGAUCGCGAGGUCUGACAGCAUCUUGCGGGAGGGGAUGUCUCAGGGAUGCCGGGUCCCUCCGCCCGCCGCCACUCCCCGGCCGCGGCGCUAGCCGGGCCUGGGCACCCACCUGGCCUCCAGCAGCAGCGGGGUUUCGGGCCACUUCGCAGUCAAGUGGGCGGUCACCGCCUUGGACGCAGUCGCGGUGCUGGCGCCUAGCAGGGCGAGCCACAGCGCGACGGAGCGCAGGAGCAGCCUCAUCCCCUUCGUGGCUCUGGCCCGCACCAAGGCACGCCGAGGGAAGCGCGAGACGCCACGCUACGGUCUGGUCCUCCCGGUGCUCCGCCGUCCACUUCCGGUGGGGGGAGCUGCAGUCCGUUAGUCCGCCGGUCGUGGGCGUGCGCAUGCGUGGCCAGCGAGGUCCAGGGGCGCAGUGUGGGGGAGCCCCCGGGUGGACACCGGCCCCUUGCCUACGCAGGGCCGCCGCGAGGAUUUUCGGAGGGUCCGCCGCCGGGUCUGGGGAACCCAGCCUUCCAUGCCAAUCUACCGCUAGCUGGAGCUGCCCCAGCCCCGCUGGUCAGGGACCCUGGGUGAGGGCCAGCUUUCCGGUUAGCAUCACCUGGGGGGAGCAGGAGCGAGAGUAGGCCUCAAAAAUGACGUAAAAAGGCGCAGGCGACUCCUGUGUGCACUGAUAGGAGAGCUGUGAUUUAUCUAUCAGUGGGCUUUCCCUGCUCUCUGGCUGGUUCUGAGGGCUGGACCUCGCUCCCCGCCACCNNNNNNNNNNNNNNNNNNNNNNNNNNNNNCAGGAUUCAGUGGUCUCCUGCUGCUAUCAGAAGUGGCAUCUCAGGCCUGCCACUUGCUUUUGGAGUUGGAUGCAGAAGUGUCCUGACUCUCAGCCCCUUGGAAGGCCCAGGUGAUUCCUGUUCCCCGACAAGACUGAGAGGCGCUGCUUCAAGAGAUUACAGCUGAAUAGAAAAAGAAAAGUCAGAAAAUGAUAGCAGUGAAAUUUUUCUUUAGAAGAUGCUGUUCAAAAAACUGCUCAGGUGAAUCUCGACGCCAAAGUGGCACCUUCACUACUGACUUCUCUCCCAGUGACUCUUUUGUCAGCUGUUGCGUCCGUCGCUGGAUUUUCACUUUAGGACCUAAACGCAGAGCUUACUUACUUCCUACUGUAGAUGGCACUUUUCUCUGAGGACUCAUGCCUCACUCAUUUCUGGAACAAUUUAUGCCGAGGAUCAAGACCAUCUCUCCAGGGCUGUUUCUUUGCCUGAAGAUAAGAGGACACAAGUGGGUGACCUUCACAUUUUUUUCUCUAUGGAAUUGCCUGGUGUAGACAGAAAAACCCAACUGCAAAAACCUAACAAAGCACACCCUGAUGCUAUUCGUUUUAAUCCAGUGUGACUACAUUCCCAGCUCUAAGCUAGAGGUGCAGAGCCCUAUUUGAAGGACCCACACGGUCUGCCCAAAGGUCAUCCUUUCCUCCGGGUCCCAGCUGUACUGGAGGAAAAUGGGAAUUCCAGCACACCCCAAGAAGGUUCAGAGAAGCUGUUAUGGACAUUUGAGGAUGAGCUGGGUGAAAACUAGAUUAUGACCUGGAGAUCUGACCGUGGAAUUGAUUACUAUAAGGUGUUAUAAAACAGCAUUUUUAGGAGAUGAAUAAAACUUUGUAAAGUACUACUGUCAAAUGAUUUAGCAAAAGCAUGUAUUCUCAGGAUGUUAAAAUUGCUGAAAUUGCAAAGCCUGCUCACUAGGUGGGGAUCCAUGCCUGGUCCUGAAGGCUUACUGCUUGUGGCUGGAGAGGACACAGACCCCAGCUGAGAACCUUCUGCUGUUGUUUUCUGAAACCAAUGUAAUUCCUAGCUAUAUUGCAACUACGUACAACCCUAUAUGUGUAGCUAUCACUGCCCAUCAAAGACAGCUCUCUCUGUAGCAGAGAGAAGCUAUUUCAGAGACCCACAGCUGGUCACAGUGCAGAAGAUAAUUGAGUGUCGGGGUUCUCAGCCCCAGCUGGUCCAUCUACACUGUGAGAUCCCUAUGUGAGGCUCAGCCCCAGCUGGUCCAUCUACACUGUGAGAUCCCUAUGUGAGGCUNNNNNNNNNNNNNNCUCAGCCCCAGCUGGUCCAUCUACACUGCAAUCCCUGUGUGAGGCUCAGUGAGCAUCAUGGAAGAAGGUGCAGGAUGAUUGUUAGAAUCAGAGGACCUGGACACCUGCUGCUAGACAGUGUCUCCUGGACAUGGCAUGGAUACAGCCCCAUGAAAUCUCACCUACCUGGCUGUCUAAACAAGACCUACCCCAAGACCAACGUGCCGAGGUGGAUGGAGGAAGUUUCACAAGCGUUUUCUUUGUAGUUAAACUGGUUGACCUUCCCCGUGCAAAGUAGAACUAGAAGACCGUGUGAGGCUGGAUCAUGAAUCCUCUUCCUUGUAUGUGGCAGAAGCAACUUGGCUUUCUCUUGUUUAUAAACUUUCAAGAGUCUGAGGCACAUCGAUCAAAAGAGAAAAGGGACAACCAUCCGAGUCAGAGGCAUCAGGGAAGAACAGACACUCAUAGAAAUGUUACAGGAGAAGUUCAAGGAUCAUGAAGAACGACCAGCAAAGAGGAAGCAAUGGAUUUUCCCUACAGGUUUCACAAGAACAAGGCCCUACUGACAUCUUGAUUUCUGAUCUCUAUCCAUAAAAACUGGAUAGCUUCUGUAAAUUUAAGAGAAAAAAAAUAAAAAACACAAAAGC
ensembl:processed_transcript Gm16835 predicted gene, 16835